AUGGACUCUUCUCCAGGCUUCGUGGCUGUGAUACUUCUUCUACUCGGGGUGGCUGGCAAGACCCAAGUGGAGCAGAGUCCCCAGUCCCUGGUUGUCCAUGAAGGAGAGAGCUGUGUCCUUCAAUGCAAUUACACUGUGACUCCCUUCAACAACUUGAGGUGGUACAAACAAGACACAGGCAGAGGUCCUGUGUCCCUGACAGUCCUGACAAACAAGGAAGAGAAAACAUCAAGGGGAAGAUACUCGGCAACUCUGGAUGAAGGCGCUAAGCACAGCACCCUGCACAUCACAGCCUCCCUGCUGGAUGACGCUGCCACCUACAUCUGUGUGGUGGCCGCACCAUGCUCCCCAGAAACUUAG